UGAGUAUGAGACUUAAAUUUUCGAGUCGAUUCUGGGUCGGGUUUUUUGGAUAAGAAUAUUCUUGACUAAUUAUGUUAGGUAACUACUUAAAAAAAUAUAAUGUGUUCGAACUUUAGAAAUAAAGUUUAAAAAUAGUUUAUGAAAUGCAUAUGACAUAAGUAUAUAACUAUGCAACUUGACAUAUUUAAUAUUGUUACCAAAAAAUACAUUAAAUUAAAUUUAUAUUAAUUACAAAAACACAUGUUUUUAAAUAUCGUUUUUUCAUAAAACCCAAAUCGGUUUUAGCUUGGAUCAUCAGGUUUACCGGUUCAACCGCGGAUCUGGAUCGUGUUUUAAAACACUGUAAAAAACACAAAUAGAAAAUUUAAGUUUCUCAAAAAAAAUAAAAUAAAAAAUAUACCCACCCUUUGAAAGGACGGGUUAACAUCUAGUUUUUGACUGAAAACAGACCAUAAUCCACAGAGAAAGACAUAAGAAAUACCUGUAGAUCUUUAAUAUAAGAGCAUCCAAAUAAAAAUUAUCAACCCCUGUUCGUUUGGGUAACGCGACCAUCGAACCCAGUGACUGCAUUUUCUUCACGGUUUUCUUCUUUAUUGGUUUCUCCGGUGAUAAAAUAGAAACGCAGCUAUCAUUUUGUCUAUAUUCUCUCUCCUCGGCGACUGAAAAACGGUGAAAAGCAGCAGAUCCUUC
rnacentral:lncRNA from 1 species